ensembl:lncRNA uncharacterized LOC115020877
GACAGAGUCCGCAUUACGUGGAUAAAUUCACUGUUUAUUGAGACAGUAGAUGUCAGACUAACUGCUGAGAGGAGGUGUCUUCUGAGAAGUUAAUAAUCAGCAAUAAAGAGGGUGUAGUUUUAAAGGAACUUAUUCUUUGAAUAAGGAAGCUGCCUGCAGUCCUUCUGGGGAAUUUCCCGUUCAUUUUAAGGAGAGAAUGGAGGAGACGAUGAAAGUAGGGAUGAGGAAACAUAGAAAGGUUUCUCAUAUCUGCUUGCUGGUGCUGACUCUGCUCCAACUCACUGCACCCUCCUCAGCUGAAAACACCACCACUUCAGCACCAAACCCUGUAGCUCUCAGUUACCGCACGCGCCCAGCUGACGUCACAGUGGCUGUGGGAAAACCUGCAGUGUUUCGCUGUGGAGUUCCCAAAGCUUCUACAAACUUGACAUUCACCUUCUACGGGAAUCACCGCAACUACAGCCUCACAUGCCCGUCAGGCUACGUGGAAGAUAUCCCCCAGGCUCUCUAUGGAAGUUGUGAUAUGAAGAAAGACGAGUUAUUGGCCGUUUGGACCCUUAAGGGAACUUCCUUCUCCGACAAUGGCACAAGAGUCGUAUGUCAGCACUCAGAGAAUCCUGAUGCACCUGCUGCCGUCCUGCACGUUUAUGAUGACGGCACCAGCUACGCCAUUCUCAUUGGCUGUACCAUUGGGGGCUUCUUUGGCAUCCUGUUGGUGUUUGGUUUAUCAUAUACCAUGCUGCUGAGAUCUGAGACCCUCCAGAAGUGCUUCAGGGGAAAAGAACCAGAAGAUAUGAAUACAAUAGUAACAAAGGAGUAAACAAGACAGAAAGCUGUUGCUUGAUGUUGCUUUAUAACCAACAGAGAAUGGAAAAGGAAACACAUUGUUUCUCUUUUUAAAUCCUUGAAUCAAUCUAAGUGAAGUAAAAGCUGGAUUGAACCCAGGUCUGGAGAUGAUGCCAGACAUUUUUAUGGCCGGAUCCAGUCUGACCACUGAUAUUUUCACUUCCUUGUUCUGCCCUCAUUGAUUAGACCUUGCACACAUUAUACAAAGCCUAACCGUGUAUAAUUUAGUAUUAAGCACUUAAAUAAAUACACAUACAAAUAUUAUUCUGCCAGAUUGCUUUUCCCACUUGGUGUAGGGUCAUAUGUCAACUUGCACUGCCUUUAUGGUACAUACCUUAUAAAUCAUGUGUAAAAAUGUGUUCUCUAAUGUGGCUAAAACAAUUUACAUGUGUAGAGUGAGCAGUCAAACUGUAGGAUUUGAAGAGCAGUCAGUCUAAAUCAUUUGUUCUAAAGUCAUUUUUAUACGUACAAUAGUUGUUAUUGCACAUUAUUGUUGGAUACAGCUCACAUCGGUGAAUAAAAGGAAUCUUAUCUUUCCAUUUCCAAGGCAUAACAGAGGCAUACAAGUUCAAUAGUUUUUGUCCACAUAUGAAUAUGAAUAUGUCCCUGCUACUAAAUAUAGUAGUAAGUGUUUACAGAGAUGUUGUGAAAGUGUUGAGUAAGUGAUAGUCUGCAGGCAGGCGCCGGUGAAAUGAGGAAUAGAAGAGUAGCUGCUCUGUGUGCUGCGACAUAUCUUUUAAAGCUAUAUUACAACAAACUUCUGAAGGUAAAAUCCUCACUGAUUGGGGUCCCAGCUGUGUUUGUCACACCCAGUUAGUCAGGUACACUUUCACAGACUGUCCACUUGAGGGAAGCACUCACUCCACAGAUUACAAACCGAAUAGUGGUUCUAACAGAGAGAAAUAUUCACUUUAAAAGAAUUGAUUGUAAAUACAAAACACUUAAACAAAAACGUUCUGUUUCCAUCAGAGCAUGUUGCGUUUGGUUUGUUCUUAUUUGCCAAAUUAUUCAAUUAAAUCUCUAAUGAAGAAAUUGUUAUUCUUUUAUUUGGGGAAUUGGUCAGUGAAGUAAGUCAGAUGUGAUGAUAAGAGUUUUCAUAUAUUUGCAUUCUGAAGUAAGUUGUCUGAAUGCUUUUAUCGUCAUUGUCUUUACAUAAAGGGUGUAUUUAUUUUUAUGCUGUUGCUGAUGUUUGUUGUUUCU